UUUAAGGUCUAAUCUGCCCUAUGAGGAAUUAAAUGGCCGCGGUAUUUUGACCGUGCAAAGGUAGCAUAAUAAUUAGUUUUUUAAUUGAAAGCUGGAAUGAAUGAUUGGACGAGAAAAUGACUGUCUCAAAUUAAAUUAAUUAGAAUUUUAUUUUUAAGUAAAAAAGCUUAAAUUUUUUUAAAAGACGAGAAGACCCUAUAGAGUUUUAUAAUUAUUUAUAUAUAUAUAUUUUUAGGAUUAUAAUUUUAGUAUAUUUGUAUUUAUUUUAUUGGGGUGAUAGAAAAAUUAAAUUAACUUUUUUUUAUAUUAAAACAUUAAUGUAUGAUUAAAUGAUCCAUUUUUAUGAUUAAAAGAUUAAAUUACCUUAGGGAUAACAGCGUAAUUUUUUUUUAGAGUUCUUAUCGAAAAAAGAGAUUGCGACCUCGAUGUUGGAUUAAAAUAAAUGUUUGGUGUAGGGGCUAAAUAAUUAGGUCUGUUCGACCUUUAAAAUUUUACA
rnacentral:rRNA from 1 species